AUUCACAAUUUUUUUUAUUUAAUGAAUUUCACUAGUAAUUCAGCUUCACCAAACAUGUUACCCAAUUCUGUGUUGAGACCUUCUUGUACAAUGUCUCGGUAUCUUCAAGAAGAUAGAGAGGUAAGCAAUUUCAAUCUACCAUUGGAUUGCAAUAACAAUUCAGUUCCAUCAAAUUCCAUGUCCAUGACUCCUUAUACGAUGCCUCAAUUUCGUCAAGACAGAGAGAGAAGCAGCAGCAAUUUACUUCCAUCAAGUUUGCUACCAAAUUCCAUACAGAAUCCCUUUCACCCGAUGUUUGAGUACUGUCAAC